rnacentral:lncRNA from 13 species
GGGGCCCUGCAGGAAGUCAGUCGCCUCCUCAAAUCAUGUGCCAAAUGUGGGUUUGAACGCAUGGAUAAGGACUCAGUGUCUGAUGAAUUGCAGUGACAUCAUUUAAUAGCUGUGUGUCCUCAGGCAAAUUACUCAACCUCUCCUCACCUAAGCUUCCUCAUCUUGACAGUGGCCCCCAGGUCUGACCUCAGAGAGGGAGGAUUCAACGAGAUCAGCCACGGCCGUGGUGUGAGCUGCCCUAUUUGGAGAACCAUGUGGCAAGGAACUGAGGGUGGCUUUUGGCCAGCAGAGAGCAAAAAGUUGAGGACCUCAAUCCAACAACCCACAAGGUACUGAAUUUUUCCCAGGCAAACCUUGAGACAAUACAACCUCAGCUGGCACCUUCACUGCAAUCUCAUGGGAGAACCUGGGCCAGAGGACCCAACUAAGCCACACCUGGAUUCUCACCUGCAGAAACUGUGAGAUAAUAGAUGCUGUUGUGUAAAGCCAUUCAGUUUGGGAAUAAUUUGUUACACAGUAAUAAAUAACUAAUACACAUUGCA